AAUUUUUUUUUUAAAAGUGAUGGUGUCCGUCUGCGCUGUAAGGCAAGAUGUAAAACAACAAAGCCAGGUAGGCCUUGCCCCAAACAAAGUGCAAUCUCUAAACUUGGUUAAAAAUCUGGUUCGGACGACCGUUUCCUCCAUAGCUUACUUAAGGUUUAUAUGAAUCUUUUAAACGAAUUCAUUA